rnacentral:tRNA from 1 species
GCCGGCGUAGUUCAGUGGUAGAACGUCAACUUGGUAAGUUGAAGGUCAAGAGUCCGAUUCUCUUCGCCGGCUCCA